GGGCCGUAGCUCCGUGGGAGAUCACCUGCUUUGCAUGCAGAAUGUCCCGGGUUCGAUCCCCGGCAUGUCCC